GCUCCUGCUCCCUGUGUGUGUGGCUCCUGCUCCCUGUGUGUGUGGCUCCUGCUCCCUGUGUGUGUGGCUCCUGCUCCCUGUGUGUGUGGCUCUGCUCCCUGUGUGUGUGGCUCCUGCUCCCUGUGUGUGUGGCUCCUGCUCCCUGUGUGUGUGUGGCUCCUGCUCCCUGUGUGUGUGUGGCUCCUGCUCCGUUUCUACUACACUGAUUGGUUUUAAAUAUUUGUCAAAGGUUUUCAGGGCUGGAGGUCAUGUGAAUUUGUAUUAUACCAGGAUAACCAGUGAGUACUUUUAGUAUGUUGUUUGUAUUCAGAGUAAACAUGGAAUUCUCCCUUCUGAUAGUAUCAACAGAACAGGCAGGUCAUCAGACUUCUGAUAGUAUCAACAGAACAGGCAGGUCAUCAGACCUUCUGAUAGUAUCAACAGAACAGGCAGGUCAUCAGACCUUCUGAUAGUAUCAACAGAACAGGCAGGUCAUCAGACCUUCUGAUAGCAUCAACAGAACAGGCAGGUCAUCAGACCUUCUGAUAGUAUCAACAGAACAGGCAGGUCAUCAGACCUUCUGAUAGUAUCAACAGAACAGGCAGGUCAUCAGACCUUCUGAUAGUAUCAACAGAACAGGCAGGUCAUCAGACCUUCUGAUAGUAUCAACAGAACAGGCAGGUCAUCAGACCUUCUGAUAGUAUCAACAGAACAGGCAGGUCAUCAGACCUUCUGAUAGCAUCAACAGAACAGGCAGGUCAUCAGACCUUCUGAUAGCAUCAACAGAACAGGCAGGUCAUCAGACCUUCUGAUAGUAUCAACAGAACAGGCAGGUCAUCAGACCUUCUGAUAGUAUCAACAGAACAGGCAGAUCAGACCUUCUGAUAGUAUCAACAGAACAGGCAGGUCAUCAGACCUUCUGAUAGCAUCAACAGAACAGGCAGGUCAUCAGACCUUCUGAUAGUAUCAACAGAACAGGCAGGUCAUCAGACCUUCUGAUAGUAUCAACAGAACAGGCAGGUCAUCAGACCUUCUGAUGUAUACUACUGCUGUUAAUUGGUGUUAUUUAACAUGAGCAGUAUCACGGUGGGAGCAGAGAGAAGCUGUCUCCUAUAC